GAUCCGUAGCAGCCUGAUGACGGGAGAGACGGUGCCGUGCCGCGCGGUGACGGAUGAUGAUGCGCAGACUGUCAGUUUCAAAAUUGGGAAAGCACCAGAUGGUGCCCUUCAGACUCGUCAGAUUGGGAGAAUUCUAGAGUAGUUUUCAGCACGUGUGAAGCGGUGGAGG